rnacentral:rRNA from 1 species
UCGGGAAUCUUGCUCAAUGGGCGCAAGCCUGAAGCAGCAACGCCGCGUGAGGGAUGAAGGCCUUCGGGUUGUAAACCUCUUUCAGCAGGGACGAAAAUGACGGUACCUGCAGAAGAAGCCCCGGCCAACUACGUGCCAGCAGCCGCGGUAAUACGUAGGGGGCGAGCGUUGUCCGGAUUUAUUGGGCGUAAAGAGCUCGUAGGCGGUUUGGUAAGUCGGGUGUGAAAGUCCGAGGCUCAACCUCGGGAAGCCACCCGAUACUGCUAUGACUGGAGUCCGGUAGAGGAGUGUGGAAUUCCUGGUGUAGCGGUGAAAUGCGCAGAUAUCAGGAGGAACACCAAUGGCGAAGGCAGCACUCUGGGCCGGUACUGACGCUGAGGAGCGAAAGCGUGGGUAGCAAACAGGAUUAGAUACCCAAGUAGUCCCUGAGCGGGCUGGCAAGGCGCAU